AUGGCUCCUCUUGGCUUAUAUAAAAUUCCUCCGAAAUUUUCCUUAAUAAAUCCUCAUUUUGUGGUUCUAAUUCAUGAACAGCGUUUUGUUUUGUUCUCUCUGUGCACUCGUCACCAAUCACGCAACGCCGACGUGCUACAUCAUCCGUUGGAGCGGCUUCCGGUUUUGACAGUCGGCAGAACUGCACUGAAACUGUACUUUUGACCUUCAACCAUUUGGAGUCCAUGACGUCUACUACAUGCUGGAAUGUUUUCAUCAAAAACCUUAAUUUCUUUUCGACAGAAGAAAGAAAUACAUAAACAUCUUGGAUGACAUGGGGGUGAGUAAAUUAUCAGGAAAUUUUCAUUUGAAUGUGUCACAUAUUCCUUCAGAAAUCAUUUCAAAAUAUUUAUUGAUUAUCAAUGCAGUUUUUUUGACAUUAUAAACCUUUAAAGUAAUGUCAUAAUUUAUAUUCAUUUAGUUUUUUUCUCCACAAUUUAUAUACAGUGGGUAAAAUAAGUAUUGUGCACAUCACCAUUUUUCUCAGUAAAUAUAUUUCUAAAGGUGCUGUUUACAUGAAAUUUUCACCAGAUGUCGGUAACAACCCAAGUAAUCCAUACAUACAAAGAAAAAGAAAAAAAUUAGUUCUGAAAUUAAGUUCUGUGUAAUAAAAUGGAAUGAACCAGGGAAAAAGUAUUGAACACGCUUACUGAAAUGUAUUUAUUACUUCAUACAAAAUCCUUUGUUGUUAAUGACAGCUUGAAGAUGCCUUCUGUAUGGAGAAACCAGUCGCAUGCAUUGCUCAUGUGUGAUUUUGUCCUAUUCUUCCACACAAACAGUCUUCAAAUCUCAAAGGCUCCAUGGGCCUCUUCUAUGAACUCUAAUCUUUAUGUCUUUCCAUAGAUUUUCUAUUGGAUUCAAGUCAGGUGAUUGCCUGGCCAUUCACUUACUUUCUCUGAAACCAAUUGAGAGUUUCCUUGGCUGUGUGUUUGGGAUCAUGGUCUCGCUGGAAUGUCCACCAUUGUUUUAAUAUUCAUCAUCCUGGUAGAUGGCAGCAGAUAUUUAUCAAGAAUGUCUCAGUACAUUUUUCCAUUCAUCCUUCCUUCAAUUAUAUGAAUUUUGCCAGUGCUACACCAUGAUGUUUUGGGGUGAUGUGCCAUUUGACCUCCAAACAUGGUUUGGUGUAUUAUUGCAUCCAAAGAGUUGUUGUCUCAUCUAGCCAGACUAUAUUCUCCCAGUAUUUUUUAUUUAUUUUUUUGUUAUAUUUUUAAAUCAGUGCAAUCAUCACACUCUACUAGCUAAUGUAGGCAUCUAGACCACAUUUUAUAUAGCAAAACCAAAAAAGAAAAAAGAAGGAUGCACUCUAAAGAAGGCUUUCAGCCAAAAUGUCUGUGAUAUUAUAGUUCCCCUUAUAUAUGAAUUGGAUAAGCAUUUUAAAAAGGACUUUUACUUAGAGUGCAUACUUUUUAAUGUUUCUUAAAGAUAAAUAUAAGAUAAUCUUAUUUACAAACCCGAUUCCAAAAAAGUUGGGACACUGUACAAAUUGUGAGUAAAAAAAGGAAUGGAAUAAUUUACAUAUCUCAUAAACUUAUAUUUUAUUCACAAUAGAAUAUAGAUAACAUAUCAAAUGUUGAAAGUGAGACAUUUUGAAAUGUCAUGCCAAAU
ensembl:lncRNA